rnacentral:rRNA from 1 species
UACGUAGGGUGCAAGCGUUGUCCGGAAUUAUUGGGCGUAAAGAGCUCGUAGGCGGUUUGUCGCGUCUGCUGUGAAAACUCGGGGCUCAACUCCGAGCUUGCAGUGGGUACGGGCAGACUAGAGUGCGGUAGGGGAGAAUGGAAUUCCGGGUGUAGCGGUGGAAUGCGUAGAGAUCCGGAAGAACACCGGUGGCGAAGGCGGUUAGCUGGGCAGUUGCUGACACUGAGGCGCGAAAGCGUGGGGAGCAAACAGG